rnacentral:rRNA from 1 species
AUUGAACGCUGGCGGCAGGCCUAACACAUGCAAGUCGAACGAGUGGCGGACGGGUGAGUAAUGUCUGGGAAACUGCCUGAUGGAGGGGGAUAACUACUGGAAACGGUAGCUAAUACCGCAUACCAUCGGAUGUGCCCAGAUGGGAUUAGCUAGUAGGUGGGGUAAAGGCUCACCUAGGCGACGAUCCCUAGCUGGUCUGAGAGGAUGACCAGCGACACUGGAACUGAGAGACGGGCCAGACUCCUACGGGAGGCAGCGGUGGGGAAAAUUGCACAAUGGGCGCGAGCCUGAUGCAGCCAUGCCGCGUGUAUGAGGAGGGCCUUCGGGUGGUGAAGUACUUUCAGCGGGGGGGCGUUACCCGCAGAAGAAGCGCCGGCUAACACCGUGCCAGCAGCCGCGGUAAUAC